GAGGGUAUAGCUCAAGUGAUAGAGCACGUGCUUAGCAUGCAUAAGGUCCCGGGUUCAAUCCCCAGUGCCUCUA
rfam:Camelus ferus unplaced genomic scaffold scaffold1299, whole genome shotgun sequence.